GAUAAACGCUGGCGGCGUGCCUUAUGCAUGCAAGUCGAACGGUCUCGAUUUAUCGAGGUAGUGGCGAACGGGUGAGUAGCGCGUAAGUAACCUGCCCCUAAGUAAAGGAUAACUCUGAGAAAUUAGAGCUAAUACUGUAUGUGGUGGUGGAGGUAACGCUUCAUCACUAAAGCUUUAGAGCGCUUAGGGAGGGGCUUGCGUCCGAUUAGCUAGUUGGUAGGGUAAUGGUCUACCAAGGCGAUGAUCGGUAGCUGGUUUGAGAGGACAUCCAGCCACACUGGGAUUGAGAUACGGCCCAGACUCCUACGGGAGGCAGCAGCAAGGAAUUUGUGCAAUGGGCGAAAGCCUGACACAGCGACGCCGUGUGGGGGAUGAAGGCCUUCGGGUUGUAAACCCCUUUUCUCAGGGAAGAAUAAUGACGGUACCUGAGGAAUAAGUCUUGGCUAACUACGUG
rnacentral:rRNA from 1 species